GGAUGGGUGGCAGAGCGGUUGAUUGCACCGGUCUUGAAAACCGGCGGGGCGCAAGCCCUCGAGGGUUCGAAUCCCUCCCCAUCCGCCA
rnacentral:tRNA from 1 species